rnacentral:lncRNA from 1 species
AGAACCUGCUCUUCAGCUUGGAAAGUGAUAAGACACACUGGCAUGUUUUUGUUCUCUUUUCCUAAAUUCCAAGCUGACUACAUUUGCACUGUUUUUCCAGUCAGAGGGCUAUGCAGUUUUCUUGGUUAUAAACUGAUUUGCAUAAGCAGCAGUUCACCUGAGCAGGCAUGAUUAAUUUGUUCUGGCUGUGGAACUGGGGAAACACGUUAUCAGGAGCAGCUCUGCUGGAGAUGAAUUUCAUCCAUUCUAAACUGAUAUUUCUAGUUUCUGAGUGCGCUCAUGCCCAGGAUGCUGGAGAGGUGCAGCCUCUGUGGGAAUCCUGUCAUUUUCUGUACUUUUCAAUAGCUAACAUGAUUCAUCAUGGUGCUAUUACACGUUCUGAAUUAUCCCUCUUCUUUAAAGCUAUGUGUGAAUAAGGAAAUCUGUUUCCCUUUGUGUUGAAUUUAAAAUAGAGAUGUGUUAUGGAUUA